rnacentral:rRNA from 1 species
UAGGGAAUAUUGGACAAUGGGGGAAACCCUGAUCCAGCAAUGCCGCGUGAGUGAAGAAGGCCUUCGGGUUGUAAAGCUCUUUCAUCAAUGAUGAUAAUGACAUUAGUCGAAGAAGAAGCCCCGGCUAACUUCGUGCCAGCAGCCGCGGUAAUACGAAUGGUGCUAGCGUUGUUCGGAAUCACUGGGCGUAAAGCGUAUGUAGGCGGAUCAAAAAGUUAGAUGUGAAAUCCCUGGGCUCAACCCAGGAACUGCAUUUAAAACUAGUGAUCUAGAAAAUGGUAGGGGUUAGUAGAAUUUCCAGUGUAGAGGUGAAAUUCGUAGAUAUUGGAAAGAAUACCAGUGGCGAAGGCGACUAACUGGGCCAUUUUUGACGCUGAGAUACGAAAGCGUGGGUAGCAAACAGG